rnacentral:rRNA from 1 species
UACGGAGGAUCCGAGCGUUAUCCGGAUUUAUUGGGUUUAAAGGGUGCGCAGGCGGGAGAUUAAGUCGGCGGUGAAAUUUUGCAGCUCAACUGUAAAAGUGCCUUCGAAACUGGUUUCCUUGAGUGUGGAUGAAGUAGGCGGAAUUUGUGGUGUAGCGGUGAAAUGCAUAGAUACCACGAGGAACUCCGAUUGCGCAGGCAGCUUACUAAACCAUAACUGACGCUCAGGCACGAAGGCGUGGGGAUCAAACAGGAUUAGAUACCCCUGUA